rnacentral:rRNA from 1 species
CCCUUAGAUGUUCUGGGCCGCACGCGCGCUACACUGAUGCAUUCAACGAGUCUAAAACCUGCUCUGAUAGGGGUGGGUAAUCUUUUGAAUGUGCAUCGUGAUUAGGAUAGAUGAUUGAAAUUUUUCAUCUUCAACGAGGAAUGCCUAGUAAACGCAAGUCAUCAGCUUGCAUUGAUUACGUCCCUGCCCUUUGUACACACCGCCCGUCGCUCCUACCGAUUGAAUGAUCCGAUGAAUAUCAUGGAUUGAGGAUGCAAGUAGGUUCACCUAUCUUCAUCUUCGAGAAGUGAAGUAAAUCUUAUCAUUUAGAGGAAGGAGAAGUCGUAACA